rnacentral:rRNA from 1 species
GUCAGCAGCCAUAUCACCCUGCAACUCACAACUGGCAACCCCCUGAACCUAAGCAGGUGUGAGCCUGGUCAGUACCUGGAUGGGGGGACCUUCUGGGAAAAACAAAGUUGCUGCUGGAA